rnacentral:misc_RNA from 1 species
GAUGAAGAAUGUAGCGAAAUGCGAUAAGUAAUGUGAAUUGCAGAAUUCAGUGAAUCAUCGAAUCUUUGAACGCACAUUGCGCCCGUCAGUAUUCUGGCGGGCAUGCCUGUUCGAGCGUCAUUACGCCCCUCAAGUCCCCUGUGGACUUGGUGUUGGGGAUCGGCGAGGCUGGUUUUCCAGCACAGCCGUCCCUUAAAUUAAUUGGCGGUCUCGCCGUGGCCCUCCUCUGCGCAGUAGUAAAACACUCGCAACAGGAGCCCGGCGCGGUCCACUGCCGUAAAACCCCCCAACUUUUUAUAGUUGACCUCGAAUCAGGUAGGACUACCCGCUGAACUUAAGCAUAUCAAUAAGCGGAGGA